GAUGAACGCUAGCUACAGGCUUAACACAUGCAAGUCGAGGGGCAGCAUGUCGGUUGCUUGCAACCGAUGAUGGCGACCGGCGCACGGGUGAGUAACGCGUAUCCAACCUACCCUUGUCCAUCGGAUAACCCGUCGAAAGGCGGCCUAACACGAUAUGCGGUUCACCGCAGGCAUCUAAGGUGAACGAAAUGUGAAGGAGAAGGAUGGGGAUGCGUCUGAUUAGCUUGUUGGCGGGGUAACGGCCCACCAAGGCGACGAUCAGUAGGGGUUCUGAGAGGAAGGUCCCCCCACAUUGGAACUGAGACACGGUCCAAACUCCUACGGGAGGCAGCAGUGAGGAAUAUUGGUCAAUGGACGGGAGUCUGAACCAGCCAAGUAGCGUGCAGGAUGACGGCCCUAUGGGUUGUAAACUGCUUUUAUAGGGGGAUAAAGUGUGCCACGUGUGGCAUAUUGCAGGUACCCUAUGAAUAAGGACCGGCUAAUUCCGUG
rnacentral:rRNA from 1 species